UCUCACGCAUGGCCACUAUAUAACGGUCAUACGUCGCACAGACAAACAUCACUCUAUUGGUUUCUUUCAAACUCAUCAAACAAACAAACAACAUGAAGACAUCCGUUUUUGCAGUCCUAGUAGCGGUGGUAGCUGUGGUCAGCGCGGCUCCGGAAGGCAAGCGUGAGAAGCGCGGCUACCUCCACGGUGGUCUGGACCUCCACUCCCACGACUUCGGCUAUGGCCACGGCCACUCACUAGACCUGGGCUAUGGCCACGGCCACUCACUGGGCUUGUCGCACGGCCACUACGACCUGCUCGACGCACCCGUUCUGCACGCUGCGCCCGCUGCCAAGAUCGUAUCAGUGCACAAAGUUGUGGAAGUCCCCAAGAUCGUCGAAGUGAAGAAAAUUGUUUCCGUCCCCAAGUUGGUGUCAGUUCCCAGAGUUGUGAAGGUGUCAAAAAUCGUGGAGGAUCCCCACUUCUACUCCCCGUCUUACUCCUCAGGAUGGUGGUGAUUAUUAGUCCCCGCUACCAAUAGUUAAAUAUCCUUAAUUCAUAUUCCAUCUUCAUUCACGGCGUAUAACUUACCCAGCAAGUCUGUUAACGACUGUAGCUCAUCAGACAUCCGACUCAUAGACAACAGAUCUCUCAUACCCAACUAUUGAUUUACCAUUACGCUGUCACAGCCGAAGUGUGAACAUUACCGGGUAAUACGCGCUGCAUAGUCAUACUCCUAGCAUAUCUUUAGCAUAGUCGAAGUCGGGAGGCUCUCUACUACCAAAACUAUCUCUUAAGAAUAAUAUACGAUAUUUUAUGAACUAAA